GGUAUAUAGAAUCCAUAAAUAUGGGAUCGUAUGACAUGAAAAUAAAUUAGUACAAGGAAAUAAAUUUAACUUAAGUAAAUAAAUAAUUAGAAUUUUAAAGAAAAAUCUAGAAGUUGUUGGAUAAAAUUUAAAAGUCAAAGACUUAUCUUCUCUCCCUCAUGAUUUUCGUCCAUGAGCAGCUCCCCUCAACCUCCAUAGCCAAAAACCUUCUUUCCCAUUUAUUUGGCUUGUUCGUCGGCAAAUUGAGGAUUUAAUCGUAUAAAACAUAGCAAAUCAAUAUAAGGCAUAGAAGCUUGUAACACGAGUCGUGCAAAAAUGAAUGGAUCUAGAAGAUAGCGAAGGGUCGAAAGGUGAAAUAGGCUUAUGUUCAUAAGCCUGCGAGGUUAGAGUUGAUAUUAUGUCAGUGGUGUUGCGCAGCUUUGCAUCUUUUGCGAGUCACUGGUGGUCAACUUGGUUUAGUAGUCGUGGCAUGUUGUAUAAUAGUUUAAUCUUUAAUCUUCCGUAGGAUAAAUGUUAAGUUUUUUAAAUGUAAUAGAUUUUAAUUGUGCUUUUAAGCUAAAAAGAAAAAGAAAAAUUUAAGCACGGGGUUUUCGAUACUGAAACGUGACAUCACUUAUUCGGUGGGUACCUACCGGGUAAGGGGUGUUACAAGUUGGUAUCAGAGCCUAGGUUUAGGUAGUUCUGGAUAAAAGUGAGUCAAUAAAGUGUGUAGAAACAUGCCACGUAGGAGUAAAUGUCUGUUAGUACCAGUGACUUGAUGCAGCUGCCUUGGUCUCAAGUUGAAAGAAGUUAGCAAAGUACGGGACAUAAUUUCCCGUGUGACUGAGAAUGAUGUUAUAUGGGACUGGCCACCCCAUAUAGCUCGAAUCUCGGUAGCGUCGGUAUGUGUAAAAAAAUUUAAAAAGUGCAGGGUGGAUAUGUUUGAAAAUGUUGAUGAAAAGUGUGUCUUAAUGAAAUAUACUAAUAAAUAAAUGUAAGUUAUGAAAGAGUAUAAGUAAAAGAGAAGAAAAAGAGUUAAAGGAAGGAUAUGGAAAGAAAGUAAGUUAUAGACUAAGUGACCAUUAUGAUAUAAAGGUGUAACACAAAAAUUCACAAAGGUAUGUGAAUUGUCUGAUAUAAAAUGGAUUAAUAGUCAUAAAGUAAUAUCCUAUAAUGAUAAACAAAAGUAUAGAAAUAUGUGAAAGGAAAUGUGUUUGGCAAAAUGAUAAAUAUUGAAAUGAAAACGUAUGAAACUAUAAGGCAUUAUACGAAUAAAACCAUAAAUGUGUGAUUGAGCAAAUGCGACGAAUAAGAAAUAAGUGAUAUGAUCUGAACACGUGUGCCCCUAUAUGGAUUAUAUGUGUAUUCUGAAUCGAACAAUAGGAAAUAUGAUGUGAUGCGAUAAAGAUAUAAGCUAAGUAAGUGUGCAUGAUAUAAGAUAUGUGAUAUAAAAUGUGAUCAGAUUAGAAUGUGAACUCCGUAAGAACUAUGUGUGCGCUCGAAGACGAGCUAAGCGAAUAUGGAAAUUUAAAUGAGGAUUUAGAAAUGAAAUGGAAAAUGAAAAUGGGCACUCUAAGUGAGCUAUAAUAUAUAUGAAAUGAUAUGUCUAAAAAUGUAAGUUUAAAAUGAAAUAAAUAUAUGACUUUGAAAUUGAGCGAUAUGAGGAAAAAGGGUACUAUGCUUGAAAGUAUGGAAUCCAAUGAAUCAUAUGUGUGUUGAAAGAAUGUGAAAUGUAUUGAUGACCAAUAUAUGAUGAAAUUUGAAAAUGAAAUUUGGUAUAUGGUGCGACGGGAGUAUUCGAUGAGCUCAUGCGGGUGUACUUCGCUUAACCCAUAUACAUGUGUGUUAUCACUAAGCACUUGAGACAAAUGAGUGCAAAUAUUUGAGGUGAUCGGUAUGUAUUUCUAUAUAUGAUUAUGUGCGAACUAGCACAUGUGAUAAAAUGUGUUAUAAUAUGUGGACAUAUGAAACGUAUAUGAUAACUGUGAUAUGUGACAUGUGAUUUGAUGUGUCUUGAUAUAUGUGUGACUUGAGAAUUGAAAUGUGAUGAUAUAUGGUCUGAUAUGCCUGGAUAUAUGGUCCAUGUAUUCAGAUCUUGUUAUAUGAGUUUUAUUGAGUUAUGAUACUAGUACUAAGAGUUAGAGAUUUAAUGUUGUGAUGAUGAAUAUUGAGAUGUGAAUGUGUGGAACUAUAUAAUGUUUUGGACGAAGUGAUACAUGUGACUGCGUGCUCUAUAUGGACUAUAUGGUGCUAGAAAGUGAGCUAUAUGCAUAUAAUGUGAUAUGAUGGAAAAUUUGUGCGCUGCAUGAGAUAGAUGAAUGUGCUCGAAACUAAGUCAAAUGAAGUGAAAUAUGAUAUGAUUGAAAGUAACAAAUUCAUAUGAAUUAUAUGCUUGAAACGAACUAUGAGAAAGCGAAAAUGUUUAUGAUCGAUACAUGACGGGAUUCGAAAAUAAACAUGGUUGUUGAUGAAUGUUAACUUGUUAUUUGAACUUUGUUGUGAAUUGUUGGGUUGAUGUGAUAAUCUAUUAUUAAUAUUGUAUCUUGUUGGUUUUUGGGCAUGUAGUAGUUAUAGAGGAAAUGCUGCCCAAAUUUUGACAGAAGUUCAUAAGAUAAAUUAAUACGAAGUUGUGAUAAAUAAAAUGAAAGGAGAGAAUGUAUGAUGUGUUGUGAAUGAUAAUGAAUGGAAACAUAAUGAAAAUAUUAUGAUGAUAUAUGGAAAAUGAAAUGCACCAUUUUUAUGGGCUAUAUGCACCCGAAUAAGGGCUAUAUGGUAUAUGAUGAGUAUGUGAAUUAUACAUUAUGUGAUGAAUAUGAUAUGUACGCCCCAUGUGGGCAAAGAAAGGAUGCAAGUAACAUGGAAAUUUUUAUGUAAAGAAAUGAUAACGUUACAUGAUGGAACCAAUAAUCUCAAUAUUAUAUAUUAGGGUGAAAUAUGAACUUAUGUGGCAUUAUAUGUGAAAGUUGGAUAAUGUGAUUAUAAGUGCGAUUUUGUGACUUGAUGUGGAGAAAUGAGGAUACGCUACGAAUAGGAAAUGACGUAAUGCCAUGAAAUGGCAUAAGUGAAACCCUAACGCUUCUAGGAGAAAGCAAAUUCGAUGGAAUUUCGAGGACGAAAUUCUUUUAGGGGGGAAGAGUUGUAACAUCUCGAAUUAUAGGGCUUGACGAAAGAUUUGGAUAUGUGAUGAGGAAUAGUAGUUAAGUUAAACUAUAAGGUAGAAAUUUAAUACGAAAUGUCGAUUAUGUGAUUUUCGGCAAUCUCUUUUACCCACGUAAAAUCGUAAAUCGAAGCUAAGGGCUAACAAUUUUAUAAAUUAUAAAUUAUGGCCUAGCAUAAUUGUAAAUAAUGUGAGGAUUUAUUUUUGUCCAUUUAAGGGUAAUUGGAAUUUUUAUCGCCGAUUAUUUCGGUUUUUCGCAAAAUCGAUUGUCGAAACAUUUGAGGUGUCGGACGAGAAUAAUUUUAGAUUAAUCUAGGAUUAAUGUGCUACGAGAUGGUAUAUAGAAUCCAUAAAUAUGGGAUCGUAUGACAUGAAAAUAAAUUAGUACAAGGAAAUAAAUUUAACUUAAGUAAAUAAAUAAUUAGAAUUUUAAAGAAAAAUCUAGAAGUUGUUGGAUAAAAUUUAAAAGUCAAAGACUUAUCUUCUCUCCCUCAUGAUUUUCGUCCAUGAGCAGCUCCCCUCAACCUCCAUAGCCAAAAACCUUCUUUCCCAUUUAUUUGGCUUGUUCGUCGGCAAAUUGAGGAUUUAAUCGUAUAAAACAUAGCAAAUCAAUAUAAGGCAUAGAAGCUUGUAACACGAGUCGUGCAAAAAUGAAUGGAUCUAGAAGAUAGCGAAGGGUCGAAAGGUGAAAUAGGCUUAUGUUCAUAAGCCUGCGAGGUUAGAGUUGAUAUUAUGUCAGUGGUGUUGCGCAGCUUUGCAUCUUUUGCGAGUCACUGGUGGUCAAUUUGGUUUAGUUGUCGUGGCAUGUUGUAUAAUAGUUUAAUCUUUAAUCUUCCGCAGGAUAAAUGUUAAGUUUUUUAAAUGUAAUAGAUUUUAAUUGUGCUUUUAAGCUAAAAAGAAAAAGGAAAAUUUAA